UACUUAGGGUGCAAGCGUUGUCCGGAAUUAUUGGGCGUAAAGAGCUCGUAGGCGGUUUGUCGCGUCUGCUGUGAAAACUCGGGGCUUAACCCCGGGCCUGCAGUGGGUACGGGCAGACUAGAGUGCGGUAGGGGAGACUGGAAUUCCUGGUGUAGCGGUGAAAUGCGCAGAUAUCAGGAGGAACACCGGUGGCGAAGGCGGGUCUCUGGGCCGUAACUGACGCUGAGGAGCGAAAGCGUGGGGAGCGAACAGG
rnacentral:rRNA from 1 species